rnacentral:misc_RNA from 1 species
GGAAGGAUCAUUACAAAUUAUGGUGAACCUCGUGAAAGCGAGGUUUUUACAUCCAUUACCUUCUGUAUUUAAAACAUCCGCUCAUAAAAAAAAAUUAUUUUAAUGAUAAAAUUAAAAAAAGAUCACUUUCAACAACGGAUCUCUUGGCUCUCGCAUCGAUGAAGAACGUAGCGAAGUGCGAUAAGUAAUGUGAAUUGCAGAAUUCCGUGAAUCAUCGAAUUUUUGAACGCAAAUUGCACUCUCCGGUUUUCCGGGAGAGUAUGCCUGUUUGAGGGUCAGCCUAAAUAAAAUCGACUUUGUUGCUGUGUUUUUUCGUAGUAACGUUAGUCGGAAAUUGAGUUAUCUUAAACUUUCGUUUAAGUGGCUUAAAAAUUUUUUCUGAUUCUACGAACGUUUCUAAGAAUAUAUUUCUUUUUUACGUUCAAGGUAUCGAAUACUUAUUAGACGUGACCGUUACAUCGGAUCUCGUCCAUAAUUUUUUCUUUUACUGACCUCAGACAGGUAAGAGUACCCGCUGAACUUAAGCAUAUCAAUAAGCGGAGGAAAAGAAAAUAACAAUGAUUCCCUUAGUAACGGCGAGUGAAGGGGGAAAAGCUCAAAUUUUAAAUCGGUCAGGUUCUACCUGCUCGAGUUGUAAUUUGAAGAAGCGUUUUCCACGUCCAGGUUGGCCCAAAUCCUUUGGGAUAAGGUAUCAUGGAGGGUGAGAAUCCCGUUCGGCUGACCUUUAGGAUGUUUUACGAUACGCUUUCAAAGAGUCGAGUUGUUUGGGAAUGCAGCUCAAAAUGGGAGGUAAAUUUCUCCUAAGGCUAAAUACCGGCGAGAGACCGAUAGCGAACAAGUACCGUGAGGGAAAGAUGAAAAGAACUUUGAAAAGAGAGUUAAACAGUACGUGAAAUUGUUGAAAGGGAAACGAUUGAAGCCAGUCGUACUGACGGAAAAUCAACUUUUCGGGUGCCUAUCGUGGGUGACGUUGAGCCUCACGGUCUUCGUUGCUUAUGUUGUUGGUACCUUUGGAGUGCACUUUUUCGUAUGGUAGGUCAACAUCGAUUUUAAUCGUCAUAAAAUGAUCGGAGGAAUGUGGCUUCGAUUUCGGUCGGAGUGUUAUAGCCUUUGGUAGAUGUGACGAUUGGGAUCGAGGAUUGCAACGAAUACCCUUUGGGCUAUCCGUCUGACCUCUGAUGGUCGCUUGGGUGCUGAAAGCGUGCUUAUGGUAUUCAAGUUGGCGGUCAACAGGUUAGAACGUGAUUACAUUCGUUAAGGAUGUUGACGUAAUGGCUUCAAACGACCCGUCUUGAAACACGGACCAAGGAGUCUAACAUAUGUGCGAGUGUUCGGGUGAUUAAACCCUUACGCGUAAUGAAAGUAAUUCAGGUGGGAUCUCGUUUACCGUGAGCACCAUCGACCGAUCAGGAUAUUUUUUGAUAGAUUUGAGUAAGAGCACAUCUGUUAGGACCCGAAAGAUGGUGAACUAUGCCUGAAUAGGGCGAAGUCAGAGGAAACUCUGAUGGAGGCUCGUAGCGGUUCUGACGUGCAAAUCGAUCGUCAAAUUUGGGUAUAGGGGCGAAAGACUAAUCGAACCAUCUAGUAGCUGGUUCCUGC